UCCCUGGUAGUCCAGUGGCUAAAACUCCGCACUCUCAAUGCAGGGAGCCUGGGUUCGAUCCCAGGUUGGGGAA
rnacentral:tRNA from 1 species